UACAGAGGGUGCGAGCGUUAAUCGGAAUUACUGGGCGUAAAGCGUGCGUAGACGGUUAUCUAAGUCGGAUGUGAAAGCCCCGGGCUCAACCUGGGAAUUGCAUUCGAGACUGAAUAGCUAGGGUGCGGUAGAGGGAAGCGGAAUUUCCGGUGUAGCGGUGAAAUGCGUAGAUAUCGGAAGGAACAUCAGUGGCGAAAGCGGCUUCCUGGACCAGCACCGACGUUCAGGCACGAAAGCGUGGGGAGCGAACCGG
rnacentral:rRNA from 1 species